CCAACAGGUGCUGCUUAGGCUCUGUGUGGAUGGCAUCAUAGAAAUGCAAGAAUAAUUGGAUGCAGCUAUUUAUGCUCCUUUGCUAUUCUCCCCCACUCAGCCAGGAAGCGUAUGGGAUUCUGGCAGCAUGCUCUUUCCCUCUCAUCUGGAAAAGGUGGCAGGGCCUCCCCCCCACCUCACAGCUGGAUGGAUAUUCCAAGAGAAACACGCCUGUGCAGCAGCUGCAGCUUCAUACAGCCUGGCUUUGAACCCAGUUUUGCCAUCCUGAGAACUUGCGAGAAAGUGAGCUUUUUCUAGAGAUGCGAGGACCAAAACAAACAUUCUGUUUGUCAUUUCAGGAAAGAUGGAGCCCUCUUAUUUUCGGUUUACUUUGCUCUUGCCUGCUGCACAUUGCACAGAAGAACAGCAGCUCACUUCUAGCCAGGGGACUGUUUUAGUUGGGCACCUGCUGAAGACCUGCAAGCCAACAGGGGCCCACUGACCAGAACUGCUCCUCUUCUCAAGCAAGCAGGUGGUAGCAAUGGGGAGGAAGAGGGUGAGGAGCAAUGCAGCUGGUGGCGGUGGCGGGACAAGCGCAGGCUUGCUCAAGGAAGGUGCAUUUGUAGUCCCACCCAGGAGACCUGAAAGCAUGGAGCCACCCCUGGCCUUAAAAGCAAGCGCUGCACAUUGGAACCGUGUGGGCUCUCCCUUGGGGCAAUACAUUUCUGGAUGUGAGCUGGCUGGGAGAAAAUAAGCUUUUAAAAAGUAAAAGAAUACAUGGGGAAUGUCUCUCUCUUUUCUUCCUUGCAGCCCUCUUCCUUCUGAGGAACAAAACGAUUUUCUGGGGUUCCACACAUCAUCACAAAAGAGGAUCCUGUCAUGAGUGCAGACAGAAAUAGGUAUGGAGCAUAGAAGUCAGUUGCAAUUCUUUAAAAUUAAAAAUGGAAAGGCACAUUGUGAAGAUCUUCCAUAUCCAAGUGGAUAACCCAUCCCUAAGAAGUGUGUAUCGUGCCUUGCAAGGCAACAUGGAGAAGAUCUUGAACUGGUAUUGGUAAUGGAAGCAUGUUGUGCCGGUACCGCACAGGCUGCUUUUUUGGUUUCAGGCAUAUGCUCUGAAUAGCUAUUUUGUGGGGGUUGGUUGAUAAUAAACAAGCAGGAACUAAAUCUGGAUAAACUGGAAGUCCUAAGGGUUAGGAACACUCCUAAUCUGGACAGAGGUGUUCAAUUAGCUAGACAACACUCCUAGGGCUCUCCUGGACUUGGUUCUAUGGACUCACACAUUUGGCAUCUGUGGCCAGGAAUGUUUUGUAGCUACUUCAAUUGGUUUCCCAGCUUCAGCCCUAUCUACUGAAAGCAGACCUUGCCUCAAUGACUAUGUUCUGAUUCUAUACAACCCAGCUUACUGUCAUGUGUUGUACAUAGAUAAAGCUUCCCUUAAAGGCUGUUCAGGGAUUUCAGUUAGUACAGAUUACAACAGUAAGAAUGCGUUAAAGCCAAUUCAAUACCUGCCUGCUUCUUUCUGGGCCCAGUUCAAAGUGUUUAAAGCCAUUAGCAGCUCGAGCCACCAGGUCGUCCGCAGAGGAUGCCCACACCUAUAUGAGGCUGUCUGAUCUUUGAGAUCAGCUUUGGGGCCCUGUUUUCUGCCCUGUUGAUGGCAUUUGAUCAAUGGGCACCAGACAGCUUCACUGAUGGCCAAUAUUUAUUGAAUUUCCACCCCCAGAAAGUACAUAAAUGUUUCCCAAGUUUUUAAGAGAACUUGUGACACUUCUUUAUUUCAAGCUUUAAAAAAUUGAAUCGCACUACUUUUUAAUAGUACUGAUCAUUUCAAGGUGGUGUAAUGGGAUUUUAAUUAUCUGGCUUCAUAGAGUAUUGGGUUUCAUAUGGAAUUCUUGUACACCAUGUGCUCAGGACAAUGAGUCUAGAAAGUUGCUUCUUUUUAAUCGUGUAAUAUUACAGUUCUUGUAAAAGCUUGCAGGUGGUUAACUGAGGAGCUGCUUUCUCUGUACUGAGCUUGCCAAAACCUUCCUAUCAGAUUGUAAUGUAAACUGAAUUGUCUU